rnacentral:rRNA from 1 species
AACGAACGCUGGCGGCAGGCCUAACACAUGCAAGUCGAGCGCUCUCUUCGGAGGGAGCGGCGGACGGGUUAGUAACGCGUGGGAACGUGCCCUUUGCUACGGAACAACAGCUGGAAACGGCUGCUAAUACCGUAUGUGCCCUACGGGGGAAAGAUUUAUCGGCAAAGGAUCGGCCCGCGUUGGAUUAGCUAGUUGGUGAGGUAACGGCUCACCAAGGCGACGAUCCAUAGCUGGUUUGAGAGGAUGAUCAGCAACACUGGGACUGAGACACGGCCCAGACUCCUACGGGAGGCAGCAGUGGGGAAUCUUGGACAAUGGGGGCAACCCUGAUCCAGCCAUGCCGCGUGAGUGAAGAAGGCCUUAGGGUCGUAAAGCUCUUUCACCGGUGAAGAUAAUGACGGUAGCCGGAGAAGAAGCCCCGGCUAACUCCG